UACGGAGGAUGCAAGCGUUAUCCGGAAUGAUUGGGCGUAAAGCGUCCGCAGGUGGCAAUGUAAGUCUGCUGUCAAAGCGUCUGGCUCAACCAGAUAAAGGCAGUGGAAACUACAUAGCUAGAGUAAGGUAGGGGUAGAGGGAAUUCCUGGUGUAGCGGUGAAAUGCGUAGAGAUCAGGAAGAACACCGGUGGCGAAAGCGCUCUGCUGGACCUUAACUGACACUGAGGGACGAAAGCUAGGGGGAGCGAAUGGG
rnacentral:rRNA from 1 species